CAAAAACUAUAGCUAAAAUGUGAAAGACCAAGAAAACUAAUUUUCUUGUCAAGAAUAUUUUUAUUCUUUUUCUGUAUCUCUCACGUUUUUUUCUUUUCUUUUUUCUGUAUCUCUCUCUCAAUUUUCUUGUUCCAAAAUUCUAAAUGAUAUGUGUAUAUAUAUACACAUAUUGAGUCAAAAAAGGAAGGAAAGAGUUGAAGACUUUCCAACUCAAAACCAAUUCCAUUUAGAAUUGUUUAGCCAACAUAUGUGAUUGGCCGACAUUCCAAAUGGAAUUCCAAUUCCAUUUCAUUCUGUCCAAUUCCAUUUCAUUCUGCCGAAUUUCAUUCUUCUUCCUUUUUUUUUUAAUUUAAUGAAAAAGUUUGGCCGACAAGAACAAUUUCAAACAAAAUUCCAUUUUGUUUGUUUGGCCGACAAGGCCAAUUCCAUACAAAAUGGAAUUUUGGUUUUACAUUUUUAAAUUAUAAAGAAAAAAACAUUCUUAUAUAUAUAUAUAUAUAUAUAUAUAUAUAUAUAUAUAU
rnacentral:lncRNA from 1 species